GUUUACUAUGUCCUUACAUGAGAUGUGGUAACUGAAUUAAAAUCCAUCAGAAGUAAUUGUACCAAUGAAUUUAAAAAAAUAUUUUCUCAAAUACAGGUAAAAAGUUUUGUAAUUACAAAAAGUAAAUAGUGUUUAAAGUUCAAUUUUAUUAAUUAAUAAACAUAUACGUAUAUUGUUUAUUAUUUUUAUUAAAAGAAUACAAUUUUAAAUAAAUAUUUUUAGAGAAUGGCUGAAAAACUUGAAUUAGAAUUGACAGUAAAAGGACUAUGUAAAAGACAAUAAAAUCGUGCAGAUCCAUCAACAGAUAAAAAUGAAACAUGAGAUGCUGAAAAUUAUUAUAGGAUAAACAUUUUUUUACCAUAUCUUGAAUAUUUCAUAAACAAACUCCAACAAAGAUUUUUAUCUCAU